rnacentral:rRNA from 1 species
UACGUAGGGUGCAAGCGUUGUCCGGAAUUAUUGGGCGUAAAGAGCUCGUAGGCGGCUUGUCGCGUCGGCUGUGAAAACCCGGGGCUCAACCCCGGGCCUGCAGUCGAUACGGGCAGGCUAGAGUCCGGCAGGGGAGACUGGAAUUCCUGGUGUAGCGGUGAAAUGCGCAGAUAUCCGGAGGAACACCAAUAGCGAAGGCAGCUCGCUGGGACGUUACUGACACUGAGGCGCGAAAGCGUGGGGAGCGAACAGG